CAGGAAUUUUAUUUAUCUUAGUGGCGGACGGGUGAGUAACGUGUGGGCAACCUGCCCUAUACUGGGGAAUAAUCACUGGAAACGGUGACUAAUACCGCAUGUCAUUACGGAAGGGCAUCCUUCUGUAAGAAAAGGAGUAAUUCGGUAUAGGAUGGGCCCGCAUCUGAUUAGCUAGUUGGUGAGAUAACAGCCCACCAAGGCGACGAUCAGUAGCCGACCUGAGAGGGUGAUCGGCCACAUUGGGACUGAGACACGGCCCAAACUCCUACGGGAGGCAGCAGUGGGGAAUAUUGCACAAUGGGGGAAACCCUGAUGCAGCAACGCCGCGUGAAGGAAGAAGGUUUUCGGAUCGUAAACUUCUAUCAACAGGGACGAAGAAAGUGACGGUACCUGAAUAAGAAGCCCCGGCUAACUACGUGCCAGCAGCCGCGGUAAUACGUAGGGGGCAAGCGUUAUCCGGAAUUACUGGGUGUAAAGGGAGCGUAGGCGGCACGCCAAGCCAGAUGUGAAAGCCCGAGGCUUAACCUCGCGGAUUGCAUUUGGAACUGGCGAGCUAGAGUACAGGAGAGGAAAGCGGAAUUCCUAGUGUAGCGGUGAAAUGCGUAGAUAUUAGGAAGAACACCAGUGGCGAAGGCGGC
rnacentral:rRNA from 1 species